UCGAACGGGAUCCGGACUUCGGUUCGGUGAGAGUGGCGGACGGGUGAGUAACGCGUGGGAACCUGCCCAGUGGUGGGGGAUAACUGCGGGAAACUGCAGCUAAUACCGCAUGAGCCCGAGAGGGGAAAGAUUUAUCGCCAUUGGAGGGGCCCGCGUUCGAUUAGGUAGUUGGUGAGGUAAUGGCUCACCAAGCCGACGAUCGAUAGCUGGUCUGAGAGGAUGAUCAGCCACACUGGGACUGAGAUACGGCCCAGACUCCUACGGGAGGCAGCAGUGGGGAAUAUUGGACAAUGGGGGCAACCCUGAUCCAGCAAUGCCGCGUGAGUGAUGAAGGCCUUCGGGUUGUAAAGCUCUUUUGCCAGGGACGAUGAUGACGGUACCUGGAGAAUAAGCCCCGGCUAACUUCGUGCCAGCAGCCGCGGUAAUACGAAGGGGGCAAGCGUUG
rnacentral:rRNA from 1 species